rnacentral:rRNA from 1 species
GGGUUUGAUCCUGGCUCAGGAUGAACGCUGGCGGCGUGCCUAACACAUGCAAGUCGAGCGGAGAUGAUGAAGUUUCGAUGGAUUCAUCUUAGCGGCGGACGGGUGAGUAACACGUGAGUAACCUGCCUUCUUCUGGGGAAUAACACAGAGAAAUUUGUGCUAAUACCGCAUAAAGUCACGACUGGGCAUCCAGAUGUGACCAAAGGAGCAAUCCGGAGGAAGAUGGACUCGCGUCCGAUUAGGUAGUUGGUGAGGUAACGGCCCACCAAGCCUACGAUCGGUAGCCGAACUGAGAGGUUGAUCGGCCACAUUGGGACUGAGACACGGCCCAGACUCCUACGGGAGGCAGCAGUGGGGAAUAUUGGGCAAUGGGGGAAACCCUGACCCAGCAACGCCGCGUGAAGGACGAAGGCCUUCGGGUUGUAAACUUCUUUGAUCAGGGACGAAACAAAUGACGGUACCUGAGGAACAAGCCACGGCUAACUACGUGCCAGCAGCCGCGGUAAUACGUAGGUGGCAAGCGUUAUCCGGAUUUACUGGGUGUAAAGGGCGUGUAGGCGGUCUUGCAAGUCGGAAGUGAAAUUCCCGGGCUUAACCCGGGCGCUGCUCCCGAAACUGCGAGACUUGAGUACUGGAGAGGAUAGUGGAAUUCCUAGUAUAGCGGUAAAAUGCGUAGAUAUUAGGAGGAACACCAGUGGCGAAGGCGGCUAUCUGGACAGUAACUGACGCUGAGGCGCGAAAGCGUGGGGAGCAAACAGGAUUAG